UGUCUGUAUUCAAACCAACCGCAAGUGACUCGAUAUUAUAACCCCUUCUAGCAAAGACCCCAGCAAUCCGAUUUAUCAUUCCACUUUCAUCUCCGACAAAAACCGAAAUUGUGUGGCGUUUCACCGAGGUCGUAGACCGCGGAAUGACGGACAAGGAGGCGGCGGUAUCGCUGCUCUUCUUCUCCAAGCUGCAGGCCCGGACCUGCAACGCUCUCCACUUCGGCCUCGACGCAAGCGCCGCCCGAGUGCGAUUUAGGGUUGACGGGAGCCCUACAUUGAACCCGAGAUCGCGGUGCGAGUGAGCAAGCGUCUUUGUAGCCG
rnacentral:misc_RNA from 1 species